rnacentral:rRNA from 1 species
GCAUAUCAAUAAGCGGAGGAAAAGAAACCAACCGGGAUUGCCUCAGUAACGGCGAGUGAAGCGGCAAGAGCUCAAAUUUGAAAGCUGGCUCCUUCGGGGUCCGCAUUGUAAUUUGCAGAGGAUGCUUCGGGUGCGGCCCCUGUCUAAGUGCCCUGGAACGGGCCGUCAGAGAGGGUGAGAAUCCCGUCUGGGAUGGGGUGUCCGCGCCCGUGUGAAGCUCCUUCGACGAGUCGAGUUGUUUGGGAAUGCAGCUCUAAAUGGGUGGUAAAUUUCAUCUAAAGCUAAAUACUGGCCGGAGACCGAUAGCGCACAAGUAGAGUGAUCGAAAGAUGAAAAGCACUUUGAAAAGAGAGUUAAAAAGCACGUGAAAUUGUUGAAAGGGAAGCGCUUGCGACCAGACUCGCCUCCAGGGUUCAGCCGGCAUUCGUGCCGGUGUACUUCCCUGGGGGCGGGCCAGCGUCGGUUUGGGCGGCCGGUCAAAGGCUCCCGGAAUGUAGUGCCCUCCGGGGCACCUUAUAGCCGGGAGUGCAAUGCGGCCAGCCUGGACCGAGGAACGCGCUUCGGCACGGACGCUGGCAUAAUGGUCGUAAACGACCCGUCUUGAAACACGGACCAAGGAGUCUAACAUCUACGCGAGUGUUCGGGUGUCAAACCCGUACGCGCAGUGAAAGCGAACGGAGGUGGGAGCCCCCUCGUGGGGCGCACCAUCGACCGAUCCUGAUGUCUUCGGAUGGAUUUGAGUAAGAGCGUAAAUGUGGGGACCCGAAAGAUGGUGAACUAUGCCUGAAUAGGGCGAAGCCAGAGGAAACUCUGGUGGAGGCUCGCAGCGGUUCUGACGUGCAAAUCGAUCGUCAAAUUUGGGUAUAGGGGCGAAAGACUAAUCGAACCAUCUAGUAGCUGGUCC